rnacentral:rRNA from 1 species
ACUGGGGGAUAACAGUUAGAAAUAGCUGCUAAUACCGCAUAGGACAUGGAAUCACAUGAUUCUGUGAGGAAAGGUGGCGCAAGCUAUCGCUAAGAGAUGGACCCGCGGUGCAUUAGCUAGUUGGUAGGGUAAAGGCCUACCAAGGCGAUGAUGCAUAGCCGACCUGAGAGGGUGAUCGGCCACACUGGAACUGAGACACGGUCCAGACUCCUACGGGAGGCAGCAUG